ensembl:lncRNA
AUGGUUUACGCAACAGUUAUAUUUUUUAACAAUUUACAAAAUAAAAGCAAUUGGAAAAUAUUAAAAAAUGGAAAAAAUAUAUAUACUUAUUCAAGAAAUAUUUAUUUUAUGCAGAACACAAUUAUAUUAUUACAAAAGUUGAUACUGGAUAGGCCGAUGUAUAAAAAACCGUAUAAUAAUACUAGGGUUACACUCAAAGAUAAGGAUAGUACUAACAGACAAAGAGACUGCUUGGAAAAGGAAACUCUUCAUACAUUUGUUUAUUUAAGUGAUGACGGUAAUAGUAAAAACGGUGACAAUAAAACUAAUUUAUCAUUAUACGAGUUGGACAUACUGCAAAAGUAUAGCAAAUAUAACAAAUAUAACAAGGUUAGGCAAAGUAAGCAAAGUAAGCAAAGUGAGAAAACGAAGAAAACGAAGAAAACGAAGAAGAGGAAGGGUAAACAAAACUUAGUGUUUUAUCAUCCACUUCUGUUGUUAACCUACUUGAAAAUUGGCCUUUUCAACCAUGUGAAUAUAGCCCUAAAAUUACUUUUAACAAUCUUAUUAAAUAUAUUUCAUAAAAAAAAAAAUAAAUACAUCUUAAAAAAAAAAUGCGCUUUAAACCUUAUAAUAAAAAAUAAUAAACUAAAAAAUACAUACAUAGAGAAAUAUGAGGACAUAGCAUCUAUUGAUAAGUGUCAAUUUUUAUUUAAUUUAAAUUUUAUGAAUACGGAAAUAAGGAAAUUGAUUUGUAGCAGUAGUAGUAGCAGCAGCCAUGAUGAAGAGCAUAGAACAUUUAAAAAUGAAGUAGCACUUGCACCUGUUAUAAAUGAAGGUGCACCUGUUAUAAAUGGAGGUGAAUCUGCUAUAAAUGGAGGUGAAUCUGCUAUAAAUGGAGGUGAAUCUGUUGUUAAGCAGGUGCUUAAUAAUAAAUAUGAUGAUAAAAACAAAACUAGCAAAGUAACUAAUAAAAUGGUUGAUAAGAAAGACAAAUAUAAAGAAUUAUUUAGUGAUAGCUCAGUUAGUCUAGAUGACUUUAAUUUGUAUUCUGAUUCUGAAAAAAGUAAGGACAGUGGUGAUGGCACAAGUCAGAAAGAAGAGCAGAAAGAAGAGCAGAAAGAAGAGCAGAAAGAAGAGCAGAUAGAAGAGCAGCUGGAACAAAAAGAUAAGAAUAGUGAUAAUGUAAGCAUUAAUUCUAGCAGUCCAAACCAUGUUCAAAGUGUUAAUAAUAACAAACAGACGGUCGAAAAGACAACCGAAAUAGAUAGUGACAAAACAUUUGAUGACAUAAAAAAUGACAUAAACACGAUUGAUGAAAAGAGCAGUAACGAUAGCGAUGACAGUCAAAAUAGCGAGGACAGCCAAAAUAGUGAAGACAGCCAAAAUAGUGAAGACAGCCAAAAUAGUGAAGACAGCCAAAAUAGUAAAGACAGCCAAAAUAGUAAAGACAGCAAAAAUAGCGAAGAUAGUAACGAUAGCGAAAGUGAAAAAGAAGAAAGUCGUUUUAAAAAAAUGUUAAAAGAAUGUAACAUAACCGAUUUCAAAUUAACAAUUGAGGACAUAAAACUACUACAAAUUUUGAUAUUACAUAUAAAUAUACCAUAUUUAAGUAAGUUUUACCAACUAUUUUUGUUUUGUAUUCUUAACAGCUAUUAUUAUAAUUCGGAAAGUUUGGAAACAGAAGAAAAUGAUAGUUGUAUGGAAAUUGAAAACAUGUCUGUAAAUCUAAUUUCUUCUGACACAACAGAUAGUAUGUAUAAUACGGAUGACAAUGGAACUAUUGGAAGUGAUAAAAAUUGUGAUAAUAGCAUACAAAAACGUAAGGAAAAAAACAAAACUUGUUAUUGUGAGCAUUUUAAUUUUAAUCUAAAAAAAGAAAUUAUAAAAAAUGUAAAUGUAAAUGUAUGUGAUUAUGUGAUGGAUGGAAAAGAUACCAUUCCUCAUGCUAGUAGUUAUACAAAUUUACAUACAAAUGGUCAUUUAACUAUCACAAAAAACAACACUGUUGAUAUCCUUUUUUUCUUUUUCCGCUUAUACAUAAAUUGUUAUUUCUUAUUAAACAUAAAACUAGAUAUCCAUUAUUAUUAUACAUAUUUUAUGUAUUUUUUACAAAACCAAUUAGAGAGUCAAAUUAUGAGUUACUUAGAAAAUUUUAUAACUUAUCAUAGCCAUUUUUUUGAUUUUGAAAUAAAACAAAACGAAAUUGUUAGUACUAACCUGUUUGAUAUAUGUUCAGGUAGUUUGUACGAAGGUGAAGAAAAUGAUGAUGAAGAAGAGGAAACGAACAAAAAAAAGGCGAUGAUAAAACAAAAAAUUCUUUUUUAUAAUGUAAAGAGUAAACUGUUUGAUGUUAAAAAAGACACAUUUGAUAAACAAGUACAUUAUAGUAAAGACUGUUUUGAACUUACAUGCAAAAAUGGUAUAUUAUAUAAAAAAAAGAGUUAUACAAGAUUGAUAAAGAAGGUAGAAAAAAGGGAUAAUAAUAAUAAUAAUAAUGGCAAUAACAAUGGCAAUAACAAUGGUAAUAAUAAUGGUAAUAAUAGCAUCCACACUAGUGAUAGUAUUAAACGGAGCGAAAAACACAAACGUGUAUACACACCUGAGUUAAAUACCGUCAACAUUCAUUUCAUAUACUUAAACAACGACCAUUUGUCUGAAAAUUUAUUUAAAUUUAAUUUUUAUAUAUUUUUAAAACGAAUGAAAAUAUUUUUUUUUGUUUAUAACAAACAAAUCUUAUUUGAUAUACAUACUGUAUUGGUAACAAAAACUGUAAAAAAGUUAAACAGCUAUAACAUGGAAGAUACUGAAAAACAAAACGACAUAAAUAAAUGUUUAGAUUUUUUAUCAUUAUUAUAUAUUGCAAAAAAUGAAAAGGAUAAAUUAAUGAUGAUAUAUAAAAUAAAAAAACAAAAUAAAAUUUAUGAUUUUAUGUGUAAUGACUUUACACUGGAAAGAUGGAAAAAGGCAUUGAUGGAUAAUGCAUAUAGAUUAAUGCAAAUAAAAAGAUAUUAUUUAGCAAUAGCAUUUUUGAUUUUAUCAGGUGACGUAAAAGAUGCAAUUGAUUUGAUUCAUCAAUAUUUAAAUGAUACACAAUUAAGUAUUUUUAUUAUUAGGUUAAUAUAUUUCUCAUAUAUUGACCCUGUUAAAAACGCAAAAUUACCACACAACCAAAUUUAUACACUUAGUCACAAGACACCUGCACAAGGACAAAUAGAUACUGUUAAUAGAAUGAUGGAGUCUGUUUUUAAUGAUUUGUAUGACCAAGGUGAAACAUGUGAUGUGUUCAGUGAUAAAUCGAAAGCGAAUUUGGAUAGUGCAAAACUAAAUGCAGAUGCAGAUGCAGAUGCAGAUGCAGAUACAAAGGUAGAUGCAGAUGCAAAGGCAGAUGCAGAUGCAGAUACAAAGGCAGAUGCAGAUGCAGAUACAAAGGCAUAUGCAGAUACAAAGACAGAUGCAGAUAAAAAGGCAGAUACAGAUACAAAGGCAGAUGCAGAUACAAAGACAGAUGCAGAUACAAAGGCAGAUGCAGAUACAAAGACAGAUGCAGAUACAAAGGCAGAUGCAGAUACAAAGGCAGAUGCAAAUCCAAAAACGGAAAACACCUAUCACAACAAUACUACAUUCUAUAAACCGAUGAAGUCAAAGGGAAACCUGGAUAGUACAAAUAGUGAGGCUAAUAAAAAUAACUGUGUAGAAUAUUCAGGCGACUUUGUUUUAAAGUGCGUCGAAUACGUUUUAAAUGAAAAAAUUAACAUAGGCAUGGAGGAAGUGAAUAACAACGACAUCGAUAAAGAUACUACAACUACUAACACAAAACACAAAAACAAUUGCUUCCUACUUUUGAAAAAUAUAUUAUUAAAGAGAUAUAAAGAAGCUUAUUACAUAUGCAAAACAGGACACAUAAAAAAUUUUUUAUUUUUAGUUUUAAUGAAAAUUAUUAAAGAUACGAUAGAGUGCGAAUCGAUUCGUAACAAAACUGGUGGUAGUGUAACUGGUUUAGACGUAAAGCGUGACACUUAUAUUGCUAUAACUUCUAGUGUCAAUAAUAUUAACACUAAUAAUUCAUCCAUAAAUUGUUACCAUAAUAAUAACCACCUAAGUUGCAUUGACUCCUAUUUCUAUGCACUUCAUUUUUUAAACAAUAACAUGUGUAACCUUUCAUUUAUUUUUUAUUGUAUCUUUUUUUAUAAUAUAAAAAAAAAAGAAUAUAGCAAACUAAAUGAAAAAUAUGGACAAUUUUUUUUAUUAUCAUUCGAAAUGUAUAUAGAAAGGUUUUUAAUCAAAAAUACUUUUCUUUUUGAGAUUGUUUAUUCGUUAGUACAUGGGAAAGAAGGUAGUAUUAACAGAGGUGCUGCCUUAGUUAACCAUUUUGGUAUUGGUUCGAUUGGCACCCAUACGAUUACUGCCCAUACGAUUACUGCCCAUAUGGUUGAUACCCAUACGAUUGCCACCCGUGCAUUUGGUAAUACCCCACUCGGAACGUUCAACAACAGUAUAACAAAAAAUGACACCUUAUAUAAUUAUAGCAAAAAAGAAACAGGUGCUAAAAAUUACCCUACAAAUUACGUACACGUGCUUAAGUUGUUUGCCAAUAUUAUAUAUACUCUAUUUGUAAAGGUUAACGAAAAAGGAAUUAACAAUAAUAAACAAAACGAAGUAAACAAAAACCGAAUUGAUGAGUUUUACAUUUCCAAUAAGCAUUUAAUGAAAGAACAUAUAAACACGAACCAUGAAGAAAAGAAAAAAAGAAAAGAAAUAAUAUUAAAAAAAAAAAAAAAAAAAAAAAUUUAUAAUUAUUCUUUUAUUUCGAAACGCUUAACUAGAAAGUAUAAUGGAUUAAUAGAUUAUAGCGUAGUUGAUUGUAAAGGUUCUGCUAAUGAUUGUAACGAUGAUGCUGCUGGUAAAAAAGAUAAUUCUAAUUCGUUUAUUCCUGGUAUUGUUACGACGCCGAAAAGUGCUCAUGUUAGUGCUAGUGUUAUGCGGAAGGGCAGCACACAUAGAAGUAGUUACCUCUACAAAAGCAGCAUGGAUAAACUCGACAAACGUAAGAGGAAAAAUGGAAUACUUCUCCUAAUUAACAAAUUAAAUAAUUUGAACGAAAAAAGUAAUAAAAAAAAAGAAUUAAAUUUUAAUAAUUGCAUAAUCAAUUUGUUACAUAAAUUUGAUUAUGUUUGUAAUUACGAUGACCCAUUAAUCAGUAAAAAUAAAUGCGUCGACUUGAUGUUAAUAUAUGGAAAUACUUUCAACGAUGAGUAUGAUGAAAGAAAUUGGGUAUGUGGUAAUUUAUAUUACCUAUUUUUUAAUAAAUACAACAAACUAUCGAAUCAUUUAUUUUUGAAUUUUUUUUUAUUAUAUAUUUCAGAAGAAAAAGAAAUACAAAAAAUACGUUUUUUUUUAAUUAAUAACAUUAUGCCUACUUUUUAA